CGGCGGCGGCGGCUAAACGCGGAACGGAGAAACGCGCACCUACUACGACGGUCCGGGCGCCGAUAUAUUUUUGAUUUUUUCGUCGAUCACCGACAGAUAUCUGGCGUGUCGAUAAUAACGAUGCGCCGCGCCCCGGACGGUAUUCUCGAAACGUGUUUUUAGCACAAAUCCGAGUAAAACGUAUACGAACACCGGUAACAGUAUUGCAGCGUUGUACACUCGCCGCGAAUCGUCCGCGCACAAUUUUUUGCGCGGUUGUUCGGUAACAAUGUAAAAAUGAUUAUAAUAAUAAUUAUUACAAACGGUUGUCCGGAACGCGUACCCCGCCGACGGACGCUUACA